GCUUUCUGACAGGCUGCCUGUGGGUCAGGGCUGGAAAAUGGAUUGUGCCCUGUGGUUUAGGCACUGAAGGGUCAGGGGAGGGUAAAGGGGUUGUGUUUGAGGUGGGGAUGAGGACCAGGAGCAGAGCUCACCUCUCUGUGGAAGUGAUGGCCACACUCGAGCUCACAGCAGUCCCUGCUCAGCUCAUCGUGACAGAUGCUGCAGGGAUCCUCACUGCAGGCCUGCCCAGGACAGGAACACUCAGAGGUUUCAAAAUCAGCAAUUAACCAGCACAUUCUACUCAAUUAACAAAGUCAUUAACUUUAACCAAGGCUAUUAAAGCUUUUGUACACAAAAUAAACCAGGCAAUUAUUUUUU